rnacentral:rRNA from 1 species
UGGGGAGUAUUGGACAAUGGGCGAAAGCCUGAUCCAGCCAUGCCGCGUGUGUGAAGAAGGUCUUCGGAUUGUAAAGCACUUUAAGUUGGGAGGAAGGGCAGUAAGCGAAUACCUUGCUGUUUUGACGUUACCGACAGAAUAAGCACCGGCUAACUCUGUGCCAGCAGCCGCGGUAAUACAGAGGGUGCAAGCGUUAAUCGGAAUUACUGGGCGUAAAGCGCGCGUAGGUGGUUCGUUAAGUCGAAUGUGAAAGCCCCGGGCUCAACCUGGGAACUGCAUCCAAAACUGGCGAGCUAGAGUAGGGCAGAGGGUGGUGGAAUUUCCUGUGUAGCGGUGAAAUGCGUAGAUAUAGGAAGGAACACCAGUGGCGAAGGCGACCACCUGGGCUCAUACUGACACUGAGGUGCGAAAGCGUGGGGAGCAAACAGG